UACUUGACGUGCUUUACGUGGCGGUCCCCCUGCGCAUCUGCGCGGCUGGCCGACAUGGGGCCGUCUCUUCAUUCUCCCUCCCGUCAGGCGUCGCGUAUUGCCUCGGAGGGACGCGUGCAGUCGGCUUUGCCUGUGUGGUUCUACCCUUGCGGGGAACUAACUCGGUCCCAUGACGGAUGCGUUUGAGCUUACCCUGUCGAUCAUUUAUUUUCGUCAGGGCAGCCGAAUUGUUGGCGAAACCCUUGUGCGUUGCCACAGCGGAAUGCUGGCGGUUACCGCACUCGAGUGUCGUCGGCUCUUGCGGAUGCUGUGCCCACGGCCAGUUCUGCGGGCCUCUGGCCCGCAGGCUUUGGGAGCAUGGCUCCGUCGCUCGCUUCUUGUGUCGGGUUUCCCGAUGCUGGAGCGGUGCGAGGGGUGCCUCUCCGACCGAACGAGUAGCGAUUGCCGGUUAACGUAGUGAGUAGGGCCUCCCCUCCGGGGCGGUGCCGGAA
rnacentral:misc_RNA from 1 species